GGGUAGGAACGGAGCGAGGGGAGCCAGGCUACUUAUUUUCUUUUCAUUUCACCAUGUGUUGGCAGACGCGGGCGCUCGUAAACACGCGCCGGCUGCAUCGGCUCCGGGCCGCGGUGGAGAUUGCCACUGGGUGAUGAGACGUUUGCGAUGGCCGAAAAAGAACAGAUGAUGUCCUUUACCCAGCAACCCCUUCACCCCUCCCCCGCCAGCGCAAGGUCGCAGACGCAGUCUCAGAGAUAGGCCCUGGCACCACAUGCACAGAUAGCUGCACACAAUCACUCACACACGCACACACACAGUCACAGAUAACCGCUCGCACAUACACACACACACACACACACACUGAUAGCUGUAGACACACACACACACUCAAACUCACACACAUGUAG
rnacentral:lncRNA from 1 species